rnacentral:rRNA from 1 species
GAUGAACGCUGGCGGACGCAUUAAGACAUGCAAGUCGAACGAAAACUUUUACCGAAUUGGAUAUGACGAUUUAUCUGAAUUGAAAUUCACCAAAAAAGUUUUAGUGGCGGACGGGUGAGUAAUACGUAGAUAAUCUGCCUUUUAGAGGGAAAUAACAAGAAGAAAUUUUUGCUAAUGUCCCAUAAGACCACAUUGUGGCAUCACAAAGUGAUCAAAGGAGAAAAUCCGCUAAAAAGAUGAGUCUACGGCUGAUUAGCCAGUUGGCGGGGUAAAGGCCCACCAAAGCUAUGAUCAGUAGCCGAGCUGAGAGGCUGGCCGGCCACAUUGGGACUGAGACACGGCCCAG